GAUGAAGAACGCAGUGAAAUGCGAUACGUAAUGUGAAUUGCAGAAUUCAGUGAAUCAUCGAGUCUUUGAACGCACAUUGCGCCCCCUGGUAUUCCGGGGGGCAUGCCUGUCCGAGCGUCAUUGCUGCCCUCAAGCACGGCUUGUGUGUUGGGCCUCCGUCCUCCUCCCGGGGGACGGGCCCGAAAGGCAGCGGCGGCACCGCGUCCGGUCCUCGAGCGUAUGGGGCUUCGUCACCCGCUCUUGUAGGCCCGGCCGGCGCUUGCCGACACAUCAAUCUUUUUUCCAGGUUGACCUCGGAUCAGGUAGGGAUACCCGCUGAACUUAAGCAUAUCAAUAAGCGGAAGGA
rnacentral:misc_RNA from 1 species